rfam:Myotis lucifugus cont2.33961, whole genome shotgun sequence.
GGCUGGGUAGCUCAGUUGGUUAGAGCAUUGUCCUGAGAAGCCAAGGUUGUGGGUUGGAUCCCUGGUCA